UGUGUGUGUAUGAGCUUUCUCUGCAGGAAGGAUGAGCUGCUCCAGAGGAUCAUCAGAGGGUAGCUGCAUCUGGCUGAGUGGGACUCCAGCUUGGAUGAGGCCAUGGCCAGUGUGGAGCACAGGUAGCCCCCCCUGCUGCAUGUUGAAUGGAUGGAGGAGCUGCUGAUCCAGAGAACCAUGAGGAUGCAUGUUGGCCAACACUGCUCAGUGUUUCUACACUGAAGGAUUCAUUUGUGUACACUCCCCAGCAGCUGUGUGUGUACUUCAUCGGAGUGGAAGACCUGUGGGGGAAAAAACCUCAAGAACUCAUCAAUCACAGUGGUCACAUGACUGUAGGCCUGCUGAAGCAGCGAUGUAACACCUGUCAACGCUUCUGCUUCAAAAGAUGGAUACUGCUUCGAGCAUAACAUCACUAUUUAUGCAGGAU